rnacentral:lncRNA from 1 species
GUUAAAUUAUACUGCAGAGGGGCCGGCCCUGUGGCUGAGUGGGUUAAGUUCGUGUACUCUGCUUCAGCGGCCCAGGAUUUCACCAGUUCAGAUCCUGGGCAUGGGCCUAGCACCGUUCAUCGGGCCACGCUGAGGUGGCAUCUCACAUGCCACAACUAGAAGGACCCACAACUGAAAAUAUACAACUAUGUACCAGGGGGCUUUGGGGAGAAGAAGGAAGAAUAAAAUCUUAAACAAAAUUAAAAAACAAAUUAUGUUACAGAGUAAUACUAUUCAGCCAGGAAAAAAGUAAAUUUUUUUUCUUUUUUCAAGGUAUGUACUUCUUCUUUUUUGGUAAGGAAGAUUGGCCCAGAGCUAACAUCUGUUGCCAAUUUUCCUCCUUUUUUUUUCUGUUUUUUUUUUUUCCCCAAAGCCCCAGUACGUAGUUGUAUAUCCUAGUUGUAAGUCCUUCUAGCUCUUCUAUGUGGGAUGCUGCCACAGCAUGGCUUGAUGAGUGGUGUGUAGGUCUGUGCCCAGAAUCUGAAUCAGUGAACCACAGGCUGCCAAAGCAGAGAGUGUGAACUUAACCACUACGCCACUGGGCUGGCCCCCAAAAGUAAAUUUUCUACACUGUUACGGAACAAUCUCCAAGAUACAAGGGACAAAAGCAAGGCGCAGCACAGUUCAUAUAGUUCACUUCUAUUUGUGUAAAAAAGUGGAAAGUUAGGUGCACAGAACAUCUCUGGAAAGAGGCACAGGGAACUGGGAGGUCUGGUUGUUGAGGGGCAGAAGCUGGGUGGCUGGGAGACAGGGUGAGAGAGAGACUUUCUCCAUAUGCCCUUUUGAACUUUCGAAACUUUGAACUCCAUACAUUAAAAAAAAAAUACAAGACUAUAACAUUUUAAAAGAAUGUGCGCCUGCAGCUGCUCAUGUUCCCGUCUGGAAAUAAAGCUAAAUCAGAGGCCAGCAGAGCUAGAAACAGAGAAGAUCCCUGAUGACAUCAUGUGAGCACCUGCAUCCGGCUGGUUUGUUGUGUUCCAGCUCUGUGAGGCCUCCGAUUCUCCUUUUUGGUUUAAAUGCGUUUGAGCUGUGUUGGCAAGUUCUCAAUCAUGACGUCCAUCAAAGAUCACGAUGCGGUUUUUUUCCCCAGCUUUAGUGAGGAUUAAUUGACAAACGCGCUGUGUUUUAAUGACCUCUUUGCUUGUGUAUUAUUGCAGCUCCUGGUGCCAGCACAGUGCCUGGCAUUGUAGAAUGAAAGAGGCCUCAUUUACCAAGUGAUGAAAAUGAGGCCCAAGGAGCAAGCCAUUCGCUUCAGGACAUCCUGCAGGGCUCUGGCAUGUGGCUCCCCCACCACCCUGCUUCCCAGGGGCCCUGAGGCCUGGGCCUGUCCUGCUGCAGUGACAGGAGCUGGCUCCCUCGCGAAAGUGGCAGCAAGUGAUCAGGGUAUCACCAGGCCAAACAGGGCUGUCCUCACAGGAACAGUGGGCACACGGUCCUGCCCAAACCCAUCCCCCGACACGAUGCCUAGGAAUUCAGCAUUAGAAGCCAUUUGUCUGCUGCGCUGGGCUCUCUUUUAAAACGCUCCUCACUGAGACCGUAGUUCACCCUCAUUCAUUAUUCAUUUGCCUGCCUUGUUUCUGGCACUGUGCUUGGUAUUUGUGCAAGGAGAAUUACACAGGUUAAAAAGAUACCACUUUAUGUAUGUAUAUUAUGUUUUAUACAAAGAAACUUUAAAAAGAGAUAUUUUAUAUGUGAAAAAAAAGCAAAGUUGAUUAGCCAAUAAAAGAAGACCCCAUCAGGGCAUUUCUCUGAGCCAGGGUUUCCCCAAAUGUAAAAUCAAGACAAUACCUACCUUGGAGGAUGGUCAUGAGGUUUGACUGAUCACGGGAAGUGUUUACAACAUUCCUGAGAGCCCUGUCCUGAUAGCAUAAAAACUGGAAACAACCUAAAGGCUGGUGCUUGAGGGACAAGUUACAUAAACCAUGGUAAGACUUCUGGUUAAACAUGGAAGAUUGGCCGCGAGCAUUUGUCUUCUCUUCCUUCCAAAACUUAACUAAGUAACAGGAGAGGAGUCAAAGAGGCGUAGAUCCACAAGGACUGAGAGACCCAAGAGAAGACAGCAGCGGACAAAAGAUUUCAACAAGGCUUUGAUUCCAACGCAGCUGGACAGCCGAAGGGUGGCCGAAGGGUGGUGACAGGACAGGCAGGGCAGAGGGAGUCAGGACCUGAUGCCUGGAGAUCCUGCAGGUCCCCAGACCCCGGGUCAGAGCCUGGCUGAACACAGGGAUGCCUGAGAGUCUGUUCAAAGUGUUGAGCCCCUGGGGCUUCCUCACCUCUCGCACCUGAGCCCCACACGCCGCCCCUCUGCGCGCUCCUUUCAGGGAGGCUUUGGUCUUGGGGACACCUGGCCCAACAGAGGUGAGGCUUGAGCUAGAAACAGGAGCUGCGCCCUGCUCCAGAUCCCCACACCCGCACUGAGGGCACGGUAGGGAGAAUGGAAGAGAUUCUUCUCUCAAAAAACGAAAUGGCCCCGGAGAAAGCCUGCCACCUACCAGCAUUUGGGAGUCCCCAUGAAAAGGCUUUCGCUGACCCACAGCAAAGCAGGCAGACAGUGAGUGCCUCCCCACCCCAGCUUCCAAUCAUCCUCUUGGUGUGCCUCUAUUAAAUAUGAACAGAGAGCCAAGGCCCUGCAGACAUUUAAGGAAAGUCUCCAAAAUGAAAGAGAGAGGCUCCUCCCAUUUAUAUAUAAAAGCCAAUCAGAGAAAUUGGAUGAGACAAAAAUACUAGGGAGCACAAGAAAAAACAAACAAACCUACAAUUGGAAAGUAAAAAAGAAGGGGGGCAACUCAAUGCCUAUAGUCUGUUAGCAUUUCUAUUUAAAAAAAAAAAGAAGUAUCUAUGUUUGUCUCUGCACCAACCAUCCUGGAGGAUUUACAAGACUGGAGCCAGCAGCUGUGUCGGGUGGGGGUCCGGCAGCUCAGAACAAGGGCUGACUGUACAUUCUUUUGUACCCUUUGAAUUUUGAAUUUUGAUUGUGUUACCUAUAACCUACUUUAAAACCUAAUAUUGAAUUUUUUAAAUCUAAUUAUCACCGUUAGAGAGAUGAGAGAAGAUAUUGCAUAAAUAGAUAAAUAUAACAAAAAACUUCUUUUUUUCCCCCAAAAGGAGGAUACACAAAACCUUCUAGAAAGUAAAACAAAAAGACAAAUGAGUUGGGGGUGGCCAAGGGAACCUCAGCUUCAUGUCUAAUGUCUUAAUAUUUUGCGAGGAGAAUGGAGUCACAUUAUUUGUGUAAUUAAAAAACUGAGAGCAGGGGCUGGCCCUGUGGCUGCAUGGUUAAGUUAGCGCUGCACUCUGGCGGCCCGGG